rnacentral:rRNA from 1 species
UACGGGGGGGGCAAGCGUUGUUCGGAAUUACUGGGCGUAAAGGGUGCGUAGGCGGUUCACUAAGUUGGAUGUGAAAACUAUGGGCUCAACUCAUAGCUUGCAUCCAAUACUGAGUGGACUAGAGUUCUGGAGGGGGUAGCGGAAUUCCUGGUGUAGCGGUGAAAUGCGUAGAUAUCAGGAGGAACACCGGUGGCGAAGGCGGCUACCUGGACAGAGUCUGACGCUGAGGCACGAAAGCCUAGGGGAGCAAACAGG